UUCCUCCUGCCCUCUUGCUGGAGAGUUUAAAGUUAGUUUGCCAAAUCCGCGAACAGAAGCAGAGUAUAUAGUACAGCAAAGAGUAUAUAGUACAGCAAAGGAGAUUAAUCCUUUGAUUAAUCUCCUUUUCUUUUCUUCACCGUAGAGAAGCCGCUGUUGUUCCAGCGUUUCAUUACGAAACGACAGAAAAACGUAUAAAACAUAAGGUGCAGCUGAAUUGCAGGCAUUAUUUAUCUACUUUGCCUUGGGCACUUGGAACAAACUUAGUCCGUUCUUCUAAGUGGCUGAAGCAAGCAGAGGUGAACCUACCAUGGCUUCUGAUCCAUAAUUUGAGAAUUUUGCUCGAACUGGCCACUGCACAGAAAAAUAUGGUGAAACUCCAGUGAACCAACCAUCUGUGUCUUCUUAAUCAUUUAGCUGAGGAAAUGUUUACUCAGCUUUGAAAAGGGGAAUAAAAAGGAUCAACUUAAUGCCCUGUCUUACAAGUGAUGUUGCUGGGGCAUAAAUAUAAAAGUAAGUCUUUAUAUUUCUAUUACAUUUUCUAUGGGAAACAGACUUCAGCAGAAACCACUGCUGCCUUUCAUUGCUCUAUCAUAUUUGUUUUGAGGUAGACCUCAACGUGACCAGAACCACAAUGAAUCUCACCUGACCCUGGACUGCAGAAAUCCAAGCUACAUGUUUGACAUUUCCCCAAUUCCUGUAUCCACAAAGACAUGAAGAGCAUUCACUGAUUUCUCAGUAUUGUUUUAAACUAAACUAGUAUUGUCUGUAAACUUAGGUAAAUUGCUAUAAGAUAGGUAUAAAGGUCUCUCUGCAGCCUGAAAUCUGAGCCUUUCUCCUUUUUUAGUUCUCUUGCUCUUUCCAGAAAUGGGAUAGUGAAGUUAUUUACAUGAAUUGAAUGAAAGCUUAGACAUUAAGACAAACAUUUUCAGUUAUUUUCUAGAAUAUGUGGGAAAGAUACUUUGUUCUAUGGAGCAUGUAUUUCUCAUUGUUCUGGCAACCCUGAACAAUAUUUAUAAAUGUUGGUCAUGCAAGCAAUAAUUGGGAGGCUUCUAUCCCAUUUAUUUAUUUCUUAUCCCAGUUUGGUAAGUAUGAUGGUUGAGAGUGUUCUUGCCAUGAUGAUAAAUUUAGCUGGAAUCAUGACAGGAACAGGUCUAACACAGAAUAUGAUAAGAAAGAAAGGACAGAAGUCUGAUAUCAUAAAUGUUCAGAGUCUGUCCUUUCCUUGAAUAAAAGCUUAUCAUUUGCAAUCCAUUAACUAAUCUUAAAUGUCACAGUAUAUGUGAAACUAUAGAAGACUACUGCAGCUAUGAAGUACACUAUAUUUACUCUUUGAGCUAGGCUAGGCUAUAUAUAUAUAGUUAUUUCAAUGUUCAUUCUGAACAACUUUCUUUAAGAAGUGCUUCUUUAAGAAGUUACUUUAAAAAAAUCAAUACUUUGUCUCUAAAAAAGGGAAUAUUUGCCAAGGUUUGUAUCAUUUGAAUUGAUUAGGGCAUAUUGGCUGAAGUCUGCAGCAUCACUGGUGCCAAAUACCAAGUUUUUACCUGACAUUACUAUUUUAUGACCUUUUAAGAAAUUCCUUAUAUAGAUGAGCAGCUAUACAAAGAAACACAAAUAACCCACUCAAUCCUUAAAAAAAAAACUUGAAUUCACACAAUUAAAUAUUCCUAUUCCAAACUUUAGGUCUCGCUCUUGCCUAAAGAAAUGUAAUAUUGUAUACAUCAAAAAUGAUGUUCAGUUGAAAAUACGUGGCAUCUGACAAUAUCUCUGCCAAUUUUCAGUAUUCACUAUUGCUUAUCUAUAGAUUUAAAUAUUUAAAACAUGCUAUUCAGGUAACAUGCUGUUUUCAGAAGCAUUACUUUAUGGAUAUUAUUGGUGAGAACUAUGCCUACACAAAACUAUCUCAGAUCUCCUGGACUGUUCUUGUGCCACUAAAUACUUAUCAGCAGUUCAGUGGUCUUUAGAUGCCAGACAUAACUCUGCAAAAGUUAUGCACGUCUGAUAACAUUAAGGACAGCAAAUAUAGAAAGAAAUCCACCAAAAGAUUCAUAUUAUUGGUCUGAAACAUCUAGAAAUAUAUUAUUAAUGCAUUUUAUAUCAUUUA